AAUUUUUUAGUAUAAAAAAGUAUGUUUGAUUUCCAAUCAAAAGGUUUAAAAAUUA
rnacentral:tRNA from 1 species